CUCCCUCCGUCCCUCCCUCCCUCCUUCCUUCCUUCCUUCCUUUUUGUACUGCAGAUGAAACCUAGAACCUCACGCAUAAAAGGCAAGGGCUCUACCACUAAGCGGCAUCUCCAUCAUUGAUUCACAUCUUUCAAAGAGCAACUGCAUACUUAAUCCCUGUGAUGGAUUCUCACCUCCACUACAGUCAGGAUCACCCCAGGUACCAUGCCUCCCAUGCGGUAAUGGACUGUGCCCUCUGAACCCAUGAGCAAAGGAAGUCUCUCCUCCCUGAACUUGUUUCUGCCAGGUAUUUUGCCACAACAAUGGGAAAAAAAAUCUAAUACAAUGUUUCUUUUGUUUGUUUGUUCAUUCGUUUAUUUGGUUUUGAAAGCAAGACUCAGAUGGUAGCCUAAACUGACCUUGAACUCAUGGUGAUUCUCCUGCCUCCAUCUCCUGCUGGAAUUACAGGAGCGAAUCACCACCACAAUGAGUUGGGUUUAUUUCAAGUGACUGACACCUGUAUCCCAGAAAUGAAAACUAGAGGCUCUGGGUGAGAAUGGGAAUAUUUGUCUACAUCAACCUAACCUACAUCAUGCCCCAACUAACAAAACUAAAUAACUGCUUUUGAUUUUGAGGGGAGUGCACGGCUGGAAGUGGCUCACACUUGAAGUUCCUGUUUCCUUCUCUAGUGUUUUACCAGGUCAGUCCUCUGUGAUGAAGACAGAGUACAUUGUAGGGGGCCAGUAUGAAUUUCCCAGCCUCAUUUCGAUAUACAAUCCCAUUUAAGUUGACUUCACUCCACACCUUUCUUCUUGCUCCACCCCAAGCUUUACAGAGACCUCAGCAACCAGAACCUAAGCAGAGGGCAGAGAAGUUACCUAAGUAUAAAACACUAUACACUUUUUGUAGACUCCAAUUUUUUUCAUGAAUAUGAGUAUUUGGCCUGCAUGAGCAGACAUGUGCACCACAUGCAUGCCUGGUGCCAUGGAUACCUGGAACUGGAGUUACAGACAGUUGUGAGGUGCCAUGUGGGUGCUGGGAGUUGAACCUGGGUCCUCUAGAGGAACAGUCAAUUCUCUUAAGCACUGACCCAUCUCUCUAGACUGACUCUUUCCAAGUUAUACUUAAGAGAAAUGAUUAUAGAAGCUGGGAUUGUUCCAGAGUUCAACGACCUUGGACAGAGAAGGAGGAGGAAGAAGAUGAUGAUGACAAUGAGGAGGACAAGGAGGAGGAAGAAAGUCCUGCAAUUUCAGAGAGCUGGACUCUCUGAAGUCGGAAGGAAACGCAAAGACCCUAUUUGUGGCUGCAGGAGAGGAAAAGAGUCCCACAAGGAAACUACCAACAGAUGGAGAAAAACGUCUGGGAAUGUCUGUAAGGGGAGCUCUGGAUUGCGUUCACUGAAGUAGGGAGACUCCCCUGAAUGUGGACAGCACUGUUUCUGGGCUGGCAUCGUGGACUGAAUAGAAAGAGGAAAGUAAGCAGGAACUAGCAGUCAUCAUCUAAGCAUCCUGGCUGUGGGCACGAUGCAGCCAGCUGCCUCACGCUCCUGCUGCCUCACGCUCCCACUGCUGUGAUGUUCCCAGGAUGAUAAACUGUGUCUCCUCUCAGACUGUGAGCCAAUAUGAACCCUUCCUUCCUCAACUUACGUUUGUCAAGUGUUCCCACCGUAACAAGAGACAGUAACCACGACAAUCCUAAAGAAGUCCUGUCACUUUUCCUUGGCCCCAGGAUGGUGUGCCACAGUGCUUUCUUCUGCCCUGCGCAGGUCAAGGCACUUGCAAAGAAGCACAGGCUUGGGUUUGACCAUCUUGAGGGACUUAUGGUGGCAGAAGUGAGGAAAUGAUUGGAGAUCAGGGGAGAGCAGGGUGCAGGACUGAACCAGAAACAAGAAUAACUUUCAAUGGCCCAGGAUCCCAACAUUCUACGGUGUCCUCAAACAGCACUGCCAGCUGAGGGCCACGUGUUCAAACACAUGGUCCUAUGGGGGUUGCACGUCACAUUCAUGCCAGAACUCUCACUGUCCCUUUCGGUUGCUGAAUAUUAGCUUCGUCCCCUUCCCACUGGCAGUUUGCUAGUCUUGACCCUGCCGGCUCUGUGCCGGGAGUCUCCUACAAAAGGAGAGGCCAGCAGAAGCCAAUACAGAUGGGCCACAGCACCUUUUCUCUCUGCAUCCGCGAUUCCAGGACCCCACAUGCCUGUUUCUACAAGACCAUGGAAGCCCAAAGAUUGUCUUUUCUGCCCUUUAACUUAAAAGCAGCUUAAAAAUAAAAGAUUGUAUGAA